rnacentral:lncRNA from 1 species
CUCCCUAGUUGAGAUUAUUUUUAGACAUAGGGUCUGUACUCCCUAAUCGCCUUUUGCCAAUAUAGGAUCUCCAAUCCCUAGUUGAGAUUAUUUUUAGACAUAGAGUCUCCACUCCCUAGUCGCCUUUUGCCAACAUAGGGUAUUCAACCCCUAGUUGAGAUUAUUUUUAGACAUAGGGUCUCCACUCACUAGUCAACUUUUGCCAAUAUAGGGUCUAUACUACCUAGUUGAGACUAUAUUUAGACAUAGGGUCUCUACUCCCUAGUCGCCUUUUGUUAACAUAGGGUCUUCAAUUCCUAGUUGAGAUUAUUUUUAGACAUAGGGUCUGCACUCCCUAAUCUCCUUUUGCCAACAUAGGGUUUUCAACCCCUAGUUGAGAUUAUUUUUAGACAUAGAGUCUCCACUCACUAGUCGACUUUUGCCAAUAUAGGGUCUAUACUCCCUAGUUGAGAUUAUUUUUAGACAUAGGGUAUCUACUCCCUAGUCGCCUUUUGCUAACAUAAGGUCUUCAAUCCCUAGUUGAGAUUAUUUUAAGAUAUAGGUUCUCCACUCCCUAGUCGCCUUUUGCCAACAUAAGGACUCCACUCCUUAGUUGAGAUUUUAGACAUAGGGUCUCCACUCCCUAGUCGCUUUUGCCAACAUAGGGUCUCCAAUCCCUAGUU